ACUUUCAAAGGAUAACAGAUCAAUCCACUGGCCUUAGGAGCCACACCCUCU
rnacentral:tRNA from 1 species